rfam:Canis lupus familiaris chromosome 29, whole genome shotgun sequence.
GUGCUCACUUUGGCAGCACAUAUACUAAAAUUGGAAUGAUACAGAGAUCAGUAUGACCCCUUACAAGGAUGACACACAAAUUUGUGACAUGUUCUAUAUUUUG